UCGGAUGUGGUGUAUGGAACACAGCGAGCGGUCGUAGAUCGAUAAUACCGCCCCCGAGUUAUCUCGCAGUCCGGGGUUCGAUUCCCCGCAUCCGAA